UGGUGUUUUUGACCCAUUUUUGGGCAGUUUCAGGGCGCGUCCCCCUGGAAGGGGCUGCUCCCGGCUGAGCCCCCCCGGACUGAGAGGGCCCCCCCGGGGCAGCUCCAGCUCUACCGAGGCCCCGACCCCCCCGAACCCCGAAUUUUGGCCGCCAUCGACCGCAGGGACGACACUUUCUACGUGGUCUCCUUCCGAAGGGAUCAUCUCCUGCUCCCGGCCCGGAGCCACAACAAAACCUCGCGACCCAAAAUGUCCCUGGUGAUGCCGGCGGCGGCGCUCAAUGGUGAGAGGGACCCCAAAAACACCCAAAAUC